CGGGCUACCACAUCUAAGGAAGGCAGCAGGCGCGUAAAUUACCCAAUCCUGACUCAGGGAGGUAGUGACAAGAAAUAACGGACCGAAGCCUAUGUUUCGGGAUUGCAAUGAGUAGAAUUUAAACCCCUUUACGAGGAUCAAUUGGAGGGCAAGUCUGGUGCCAGCAGCCGCGGUAAUUCCAGCUCCAAUAGCGUAUAUUAAAGUUGUUGCAGUUAAAAAGCUCGUAGUUGGAUUUCUGGAGGGGUGCCAAUGUCCGAUUGUUUCGUGUGCAGCGGCGCCCUUCCAUCCUUCUGUUAACGUUUCUGAUAUUCAUUUAUUGGUCUCGGGCUCAGAUAUUUUACCUUGAGAAAAUUAGAGUGUUCCAGGCAGGCUUGCGCCGGAAUACAUUAGCAUGGAAUAAUAGAAUAGGACUUUAGUCUCCUUUGUUGGUUUGAGGGACUGAAGUAAUGAUUAAUAGGGAUAGUUGGGGGCAUUAGUAUUUAAUUGUCAGAGGUGAAAUUCUCGGAUUUGUUAAAGACUAACUUAUGCGAAAGCAUUUGCCAAGGAUGUUUUCAUUAAUCAAGAACGAAAGUUAGGGGAUCAAAGACGAUCAGAUACCGUCCUAGUCUUAACCAUAAACUAUGCCGACUAGGGAUCGGAGGCGCGCCUUAUCCGCCUUCGGCACCUUAUGAGAAAUCAAAGUCUU
rnacentral:rRNA from 1 species